ensembl:lncRNA
AUCACUAUAUAUAUAUAUAUAUAAUUUUUUUUUUCUAGUGAAAAGCUUUUUUUUUCUGUUUUUUUUUUCUAUCUGACACAUCCUGAAAUGCUAUGAACUAUCAACAGUUAGGAAGAUAGAGCUGAAGUCAUCUUACACAGACAGACAUGCACUCAGGUCUGAGGGCCCCAGCUUGACUCUGGGCCCUCUCUGUGCCUGACCUCUGAAGUGUCCUUUCCUUCAGCGCGUCGAGUUCCUGCACCUCUGCUAUCUGCUUCACAUUCUUUCACGUUAGCAGCAUCACCCCAGCGGACAGCCUCUUCACUAGCCUUAUUCACCCUAUCUGAGACUCAGUGUGUGUGUGCAUGUGUGUGUGUGACAGCAACUAUCUUGGGCUCUCAGUUAAUUGGUAACCAGGGUUUUUGAAAACUGGAAGAGCUUUCAAACACGAUCAUAGACCAUGUCUGCAUUCGGUCUGUCCUCCUCUCCCUCCAUCCGACAGCCCGGCCGCUCACCUUUAACCUUCACUCCACCACUCAUUCUGCUCAUUUUCUGUUGAGCUGUGAUAUCUGGAGCUGGGGAGGGUCUUCAGAAAGGCAGAGUUUGCCCCCAAGGCUACACUCCAUCACUUCAAACACUCAGAGGGAAGAAGGACCCCCAAGGUGUGAAUUAAUGAUGAUGUAAUCAGGAUAAACAGUUCGGUAUGAGAGCGAGAGCAAGCAGACGUUCAGAAGAAGGCACUUCACUUCCGGGAGGGUCAGAAUCCAACAGAGAUCCCUAUCCAAAGAACGUCAGAGCCUCACUUUAAAAUGCUUCUUUAUUCUGUCCACCCAUCUUGUGGCAUGAAGUCUGGUUCACAUUGCAGAUAAUUAUAUAUACUGUAUAUAUAUUCCCAAAGCAAACAAUCUACAGAUCUGAAAACACCCUCAAAAUUCUC